AUUGAACGCUAGCGGGAUGCCUUACACAUGCAAGUCGAACGAGUGGCGGACGGGUGAGUAAUGUCUGGGAAACUGCCCGAUGGAGGGGGAUAACUACUGGAAACGGUAGCUAAUACCGCAUACCAUCAGAUGUGCCCAGAAGGGAUUAGCUAGUAGGUGGGGGAAUGGCUCACCUAGGCGACGAUCCCUAGCUGGUCUGAGAGGAUGACCAGCCACCCUGGAACUGAGACACGGUCCAGACUCCUACGGGAGUCAGCAGUGGGGAAUAUUUCACAAUGGGCGCAAGCCUGAUGCAGCCAUGCCGCGUGUAUGAAGAAGGCCUUCGGGUUGUAAAGUACUUUCAGCGGGGAGGCGUUACUCGCAGAAGAAGCACCGGCUAACUCCGUGCCAGCAGCCGCGGUAAUAC
rnacentral:rRNA from 1 species